rnacentral:rRNA from 1 species
GUAGGUGGCAAGCGUUGUCCGGAAUUAUUGGGCGUAAAGUGCGCGCAGGCGGUUCUUUAAGUCUGAUGUGAAAGCCCACGGCUCAACCGUGGAGGGUCAUUGGAAACUGGAGAACUUGAGUACAGAAGAGGAAAGCGGAAUUCCACGUGUAGCGGUGAAAUGCGUAGAGAUGUGGAGGAAUACCAGUGGCGAAGGCGGCUUUCUGGUCUGUAACUGACGCUGAGGCGCGAAAGCGUGGGGAGCAAACAGGAUUAGAUACCCUGGUAGUCCACGCCGUAAACGAUGAGUGCUAAGUGUUAGGGGGUUUCCGCCCCCCUUAGUGCUGCAGCUAACGCAUUAAGCACUCCGCCUGGGAGUACGGCCGCAAGGCUG